AUUGAACGCUGGCGGCAGGCUUAACACAUGCAAGUCGAGCGGGGUGAUGGUGCUUGCACUAUCACUUAGCGGCGGACGGGUGAGUAAUGCUUAGGAAUCUGCCUAUUAGUGGGGGACAACAUCUCGAAAGGGAUGCUAAUACCGCAUACGUCCUACGGGAGAAAGCAGGGGAUCACUUGUGACCUUGCGCUAAUAGAUGAGCCUAAGUCGGAUUAGCUAGUUGGUGGGGUAAAGGCCUACCAAGGCGACGAUCUGUAGCGGGUCUGAGAGGAUGAUCCGCCACACUGGGACUGAGACACGGCCCAGACUCCUACGGUAGGCAGCAGUAGGGAAUAUUGGACAAUGGGGGGAACCCUGAUCCAGCCAUGCCGCGUGUGUGAAGAAGGCCUUAUGGUUGUAAAGCACUUUAAGCGAGGAGGAGGCUCUUUUGGUUAAUACCCAAGAUGAGUGGACGUUACUCGCAGAAUAAGCACCGGCUAACUCUGUGCCAGCCGCCGCAGUAA
rnacentral:rRNA from 1 species